UAAAUAUAUAUGUACAAUACAUAUUUAAUACACACAUUCUACUGCAACUUGCUUUUUCACUCAGCAAUUUUUAUUUACAAUCUAGUGGAAAGAGAAUGGUGAGAACAGCAGGAGGUAUUUGAGUGUUACCUUAAGGUUCAAGCUUCUCUGAGAUUGCAAACUACCUCUCCCUACAAAAAAGUCAAGAUAUUUAUGCAUCAAUACCCCUUAGCAAUGUGACUGUUGGUAAUCACAUCAAAAGGAUAUAAUUCUUCCUGGAACUUGAAUGGGAACCUCGUUGUGAAUAAAAAGAGUUAGAGAGAUUAUAUUGCCACCAUGGAAGAGGAGGAGCUGGAAGGAGAUUCUGAAGCCUUGGGACAAAGCUGGUGCUGCGGCAGUCAGAGCAGAGAGACAGAAUGAUGCCACUGAUUGCUGUGCUUUUGGAGACUGUUCUACUUCUGAAUUUCCAAUUCAGUGAAAUAAUGCCUGUCCUCAUUUAUUAGCCUUUUAGAGUUGGGUUUUCUGGUUUGCUUUGUUUAAAGUAUUCAAAAUGGCACAUACUUCUACUUAGCUUUAAUGUUUCU
rnacentral:lncRNA from 1 species